rnacentral:rRNA from 1 species
AUUGAACGCUGGCGGCAGGCCUAACACAUGCAAGUCGAAUGGUAACAGGAAACAGCUUGCUGUUGCGCUGACGAGUGGCGGACGGGUGAGUCAUGUCUGGGAAACUGCCUGAUGGAGGGGGAGAACUACUGGAAACGGUAGCUAAUACCGCAUAACGUCGCAAGCCCAAAGAGGGGGACCUUCGGGCCUCUUGCCAGCAGAUGUGCCCAGAUGGGAUUAGCUAGUAGGUGGGGUAACGGCUCACCUAGGCGACGAUCCCUAGCUGGUGUGAGAGGAUGACGGGCCACACGGGAACUGAGCCGCGGUCCAGGCUCCUACGGGAGGCAGCAGUGGGCAAUAUUGCACAAUGGGCGCAAGCCUGAUGCAGCCAUGCCACGUGUGUGAAGAAGGCCUUCGGGUUGUAAAGUACUUUCAGCGGGGAGGAAGGGAGUAAAGCUAAUAACAAUGCUCAUUGACGUUACCCGCAGAAGAAGCGCCGGCUAACUCCGUG